GAUGAAGAACGCAGUGAAAUGCGAUAAGUAAUGUGAAUUGCAGAAUUCAGUGAAUCAUCGAAUCUUUGAACGCACAUUGCGCCCGCCAGCAUUCUGGCGGGCAUGCCUGUUCGAGCGUCAUUUCAACCCUCGACUUCCCUUUGGGGAAGUCGGCGUUGGGGACCGGCCGUAUACCGCCGGCCCCGAAAUGAAGUGGCGGCCCGUCCGCGGCGACCUCUGCGUAGUAAUCCAACUCGCACCGGAACCCCGACGUGGCCACGCCGUAAAACCCCCGACUUCUGAACGUUGACCUCGGAUCAGGUAGGAAUACCCGCUGAACUUAAGCAUAUCAAUAAGCGGAGGA
rnacentral:misc_RNA from 1 species